rnacentral:lncRNA from 1 species
GAAAGCAGCGCUGGAAGGGAGGAAUCAGCGUGUGCCUGUGAUGCGGGGUGGGUGAGCUGAAGAGUCAAAAGAAAGAUUUCUUGGACUCUCAAGGUCUGGCAGUAGUGCUCUUUUAUUUAGAGAAUAGUGUGGAAUAGCAUGGGGACAGGACCCAUGGGCAGUCAGAGGUGCUGCAUGGGGACAGGACCCACGGGCAGGAGGAGCUGCUGCUGCUGCAUGGGGACAGAACCCAUGGGCAGUCAGAGCUGCUGCUGCUGCUGCUGCAAACAUGGGUGGAGAGUAGGGCUAAAUUUAAGGCAUAGGUAUGUGAGUUAUCUCUUUACAAGACAAAGGAAAGAAUAUGUAAAAAAGUUGUUAAAAUGGUAUCAGUGGAGGUAGGAUCUGGUUAUUGGGUGGUCUUAUAACUUUUAGAUAAGAAUCAAACCAGAUUAAGUAAAUGGUAGGAGCCACCGCCUUAAAUAUUAUCUUCAGCUAAAGACAAAGGAGGAUGUUGGUGGGCGGGUCAGUUACAUGAGGUUACCAGACAGUAAACAACUUAAGUCCUUGCCUUCCCCAUUAAGAGUUUCCAGAGAUAAGGCCAGGCCCCCUCCCUCCUGGUGCAGAGGGAGACACCCCCACACAUGGAGACUUCCUUCACAAAUGCAAAUGUCUCUCAUCAAAGGGCAAGCAAAUUCCACUCCUCAGAGCAUCCUUCUCAUCUGCAGUUUUUUAAAAGUAACCAGCCUAAAAUAUUCCUCAUCACCAGGAGUGCAGAGGAGCUGGCAACUGUCUGGAGCUGACACCUGGCCAUAAGCUGCAGCUCGUCUGAUCUAUGCCACAAGGCCUGAGCCUCGACGUUAUGAACAUUAGUCAUAUACAUGGCUGAGGAAAGAGGUGAGGACUGGUGUUCUGGUGGACUUAUCUCAGGUAAAAAGAAUUUGAGAACAGAACAAAUGUAGUGGGUCAAAAUUCACUCACAUUUAUCUGUAACUAACUCGCCUUGAAGAGCUCUCAACUAUGUUCUCACAUUUUAAUAGUCUUAAUUCUAACUGUGGAGCUCAAAGAGUUUUCUGCUAGCAGUGGUUCUUAAAGUUUAGCAUCUAUCAGAAUGAUCUAGAGGGUUUGUUAAAACACAGUUUGCUGUGUACCGGCCCUAGAGUUUCUGACUCAGUAGGUCUGGGGUGGGGCCUGAGAAUUUGCAUUUCUAACAAGUCCCAAGUGAUGCAAUGCUGGGUCUGGAGAUCUCAGUUUGAGAAUUACUGCGCUAGACUAGAGGAAUGUCCUACAAUAGUAAGCACCUGGGGAGAUUCUGCUAAGCCACUAGGGGCCACUGUAUUCUCCUUAGACCUGUGUACCCAGCCAGUCCUGGGGUCCAGCCUCAAUUCCCCUUUCUCUGGUGACUUAGAUGCUGGCACACACUAGCACUACUCCACACUCCGGGAGAGGCAGAGCUUCCUCCCCAAGUGCACCUGUGCCAGCACAGGUCUACCUUGGAACAUCCUUCACCACCUCUCACUGCAAAGGACUCUCAGCUGUAGAGUCUAUGGUUUAUGAGACAAUUUAUGUUAUUUUAGAUAGCUUUUAAUUAGUUUUUGAAAAAUUAUCACCCAUCUCACCUCCAAGUGAUGUGUGGAAUACAUUUUCAGCACGCAUAUUUUGAGUUGACCAUGUCUCAGAACUUCUCAAUAUCUACACCAGUCAGGCCAAUUUGGGGUUUGACAAACAUGUCAUCGUAGAUAAAAUAGUAUCUUGAUUAUCAGAAGAGUGUUGAGGUUAAGUGGUGGGCUCUGAAGUCAGGCUGCCUGAGUGUGAAUUCCGACUCUGUUCUUAUCUAACCAGGUCACACUGAACAAGUUCUUUAUUGUCUCUGUGCCUUGUUUUCUCAUCCAUGUUAUGCUACCUCAUAAGGUUUUCAUUUUAAAAAAACCAAUAUCUAUCAUGUCCUGAGAACAGUAUGUGGAAAAGAAGAGGUAUUCAAUAAUUAUUGAUUGAUUAAUUACUGUAUGGCAACAAUUAUCAUUAUAAAAGAACUGUAAUUAUACUGGGGAAUAUAUGAGUAGAAUUUAUUCAGUUUCUCACUAAUUAAGAUUGGCCGUAUCCUCACAAGACUAAUAGGCAGGCAUAAAGAAUAACGAAUUUCUUGGAUCCUAAACUUUUUGCAAUAGUCUUCUUGGUGAAACAGGUUGAGCUCUCAGACACUCACACCAUCGGGGGGAAUGGCUGUGUCUUCCUGCACUCAGUCACUGCCGUGGGUUUCAAAUAGCAUGGCAAGGAAUUUUGCCUUAAAAAGGAAAGACCCAGUUUAGGAGUAUGAACAUAAAUCUCAAUUCGAUGCAAAAGCACUAAACCCCCACUGAGUGUAGUAGAAAGAUCUAAGUUCCUACAGGACUCUGUGUGCUGGGUACUGUUGUUGUCUGCUGUUCACAGGUGAGGAAUUGAGGCUUGGGGAGGAGACAUGACUGCACAAAGGCUCAGUGCUAAUAUCCAGCUGAACCAUACUCCAAGUCAGGCGCCCUGACACCAGAGGCCCAUGCUCUUAACCAUUCUGGCUUCUUGGCUCUGGGUUGGUCCUAGAGACAACUACUCUCAGUAAAUAAUUAGGAUUCAUACAGCUUUGGUGUCAGUGAUAGCAGAGAAGUUGACAUUACAUACUCUGUCUUACCAGGUACAGAGAAGAGACCUGGUAUAGUGGAAAAUUUCAGGACCAUGACCCUUGGUGUCUGAGAAAAGAAAAGUGAGAAGAUGUAUGCUGUUGGAUUGGACACAGAGCACAUAGAAUAAGUCACAUGGAAUGUUUUACCAUCUGUCUGGAUGUUUUAAAAGCAGGCUGACUACACUCAUAAUGUCAUAUCAUAAUUACUCAGAGAUUACAUCAUAGCCUAUUUUUAUUCUGUCAUCUAGUAAUUUGUGUACUACUGAUUAAGACUAGCAAGAAUAAAACUCUAGGCUCCUAUGGUCAGGCUAUUCAGCCUCCUGUUAGACAAAUUACAAACAUAAGUUGAGUGUCCACUGGCUGCUCAGUCUUUGUGCUAAGCUUUCGGGAAAAACAUAAAAAUAUCAGACAUAGUUCCCAUCCUAAAAGAACAUGUGAUCUUGUUAGUAAGAUAAAGUAAACACAAUUAAAAUGAUUAUAUGAAGUAGGAAUGACCGAAAUAGAAGAGGAUAAGAUAAGAGAAUGGUAGCCAGGAAGACAACAUUACGUUGACAGCAUGGGAAACCUGUGAAUAAAGAGAAGAAAGCAUGCAAGCUUUGUUUAGUCACUCUCCUUGCAACAGGACAAUCAAUUUGAAAUUUAGGCUGAGGGCAGAAUGUGGAAAGCUUUUACUAUCUGGCUAAGGAGUUUAGAUUUUAUUCUAGAUUUUAAAAAUAUUCUUUUAGGGGCCAAAUACGUUUUUCACACAAACUACAAUAUAAUUCUCUUGAAUGAAACUUCUGCUUCUACCAAGAUGGAGAAACAGGGAAUAGCUUUACCCUCUUACCUAAAAACAACUAAAAAAAUUCACAGAAUAUGUGAUAUAAUGGUUUUCUAGUCAUUGGUCAACAAGCAACAAAGGGCAAUGGACCUUUUAGAGACUGGAAAUAAACAAGGUGAGCCCUAUGACUGCCCCAGAUUACUGCUUGGAGAGGUUCCAGGCCUGGGCACAGGGAGUUUUCAGACCCUGUCUAGCAAUCUCCUUGAGUUAAGGAGAUGCAGCUGGGAGUCUGAGGUGGCUAAUUUGGCUGGAGCUCUUAGAGCACAAUACUGGAAAGGAGGGAGCUACUCAGAGAGAGAGAGACACACAGAGAGAGAGAGAAAGAGAGCUCUGGAGACCUACAGAUGCUCUCUCUCAAAUCCUCAGCCAGGUAGUGAUGGGUGCAUGUGUGUGAGGAAAGGAACACCCAAAGGGAUUAGAGGAAAAAUCCUCAGAAUUCACCAGAAGUAGUUCCUGUUUCCCCAAGCCAGAGUGGGGAAGCUCAUACUUCACAGGAAAUCAGGAAGCAGACUCACAAGAGCUUUGCCUCAAUAGUGGGGAAAAUUAACCCCAGACUAAGCACUGUGCUGGUUCUUUAUAACAAAGCUAAAAAUCUGAAUCUAAAGAAUCAGUUUCCAAGUAACUUAAUUGCACCUCAGAAAAAGACUCAAAAAUAUUUACACAACACAAAUAUAUCCAGCACCCAAAAAGCUAAAAUCCACAAUGUCUGGCAUCCAAUUAAAAAUUACCAGGCAUUCAAAGAAGCAAGAAAAUACAGCUUAAAAUAAGAAAAAAAAUCAAUAAAAACUGAC